rnacentral:rRNA from 1 species
CCCUUAGAUGUUCUGGGCCGCACGCGCGCUACACUGAUACAAGCAACAAGCGGUUCCUUGGCCGACAGGUCUGGGUAAUCUUGUGAAAUUGUAUCGUGAUAGGGCUUGACGAUUGUAAUUAUUUGUCACAAACGAGGAAUUCCUAGUAAGCGCAAGUCAUCAACUUGCACUGAUUACGUCCCUGCCCUUUGUACACACCGCCCGUCGCUCCUACCGAUUGAGUGAUUCGGUGAAUAAUUCGGACUGCAGCAAUGUUUGGAUCCCGAACGUUGCAGCGGAAAGUUUAGUGAACCUCAUCACUUAGAGGAAGGAGAAGUCGUAACA